GACGAACGCUGGCGGCGUGCUUAACACAUGCAAGUCGAACGGAAAGGCCCUGCUUUUGUGGGGUGCUCGAGUGGCGAACGGGUGAGUAACACGUGAGUAACCUGCCCUUGACUUUGUGAUAACUUCAGGAAACUGGGGCUAAUACCGGAUAGGAGCUCCUGCUGCAUGGUGGGGGUUGGAAAGUUUCGGCGGUUGGGGAUGGACUCGCGGCUUAUCAGCUUGUUGGUGGGGUAGUGGCUUACCAAGGCUUUGACGGGUAGCCGGCCUGAGAGGGUGACCGGCCCCAUUGGGACUGAGAUACGGCCCAGACUCCUACGGGAGGCAGCAGUGGGGAAUAUUGCACAAUGGGCGGAAGCCUGAUGCAGCAACGCCGCGUGCGGGAUGACGGCCUUCGGGUUGUAAACCGCUUUCGCCUGUGACGAAGCGUGAGUGACGGUAAUGGGUAAAGAAGCACCGGCUAACUACGUG
rnacentral:rRNA from 1 species